ensembl:misc_RNA VTRNA2-2P vault RNA 2-2, pseudogene
GGGUCAGCUUUGGCUCAAGUGGUUACUUCCUCAUGCCAGACUUUCUGUCUCUCUAACUCCCUGUGCUGGGGUUUGAAUCCUGCAGGUGCUUUCUGAUCUUUAA